AACUGAUACUACCUGCGGGAACCUGCGGAGGGAUCAUUACUGAAGUGAUUUGGGGAUGUUGCUGGCCCUCUCUCAAGGGGGGGCACUGUGCACUCCUCGAAACAAUUCACAAUUUCCAUCACACCCCUUGUGCACACCUUGUAGGCACCCAAACCCACCUCCGGGUGGUGGGGUCCUAUGUAUUCCUUCAUCUCACACUCUGUUGAAUAGUGCCAUGGGACGCAUCUAAAGGAUUAUUUG
rnacentral:misc_RNA from 1 species